ACACGAGAGCUGGGGGACUGGGCACCCAGACAGUGGCUGUUUCCACAUUGGCAAAACAGGAGUUGGUAACCCAGAAGCCAUGCUGCGGGGUUAACAUCAGGGAACCGAUUCGUCCCAACCCAGAAGGAAGAGAAAGGUCAGGCUACAUACCCAAAAAUACCUUUUGCCACAGGCUUGGGACUACUAUCCUGUGAAUGUCAGCAAGCCUGUCCUCUACAGGGAUCCGUGGAGAAGAUAAACUCUACAAGAAACAGAAAAAUGUCUACCUGUCUCCAGAACCAUGCAGACUCCCUCCCCUUCAGGAUCUCCUAGCCCCUGAUGAAUGAACAGCACUUCCAAGAUGCUUGAGACACCGGGCACAGCUACUAUCAGUCAUGGCGCUCCCAACCUGCAGACAUUAUCAGUCUGCUGGACUGGAAAGAUACACGAACUGCACGCCCUUAAGCGGAGCUUCACCUCAUAAUAUUGGGAAAAGUAAGAGAAUCCUCUGACCUUCCAUAAACCCAGAAUCACCUGCACAGAACUUCCCUCCAUCAUUACUCAGAUUCCCAGGCCAGCGUUUUCCUUCCAUACCCAAACCUUCUCACAAGGAAGGUCGGCAGAAACAGAAUACAAACUCCAUAUUGCAAAGGUACAAUGGGUUCUCCCCCACCCCCGCUCCUUUUGUGCCACCCACUUAUGCCAUCCUUUUCCCACACACAACCACAUGGAAGGGUUUUCACUUUACUCUGUAACCAGCCUUCAUCAUAACCCAGUCUCCGUGCUCAGAACUAGAAAGACAGCCUUCUUAAUUCUCAGCGGAAUAUGGGCCUAACAGUGGUAGGACACCCCCCAGCUAUUCAAAGAAAAACCACCAGAGGAAAUAAUUUCAAAUCUGGCUUUACAAGCAUGUAAUAUAAAAAUAACUCUGCCUUUGUCUGCUAUAGAUGACUUUCCCUAAAGGGAUGGCUGUCCUUAAAGCAAUCGCUCAAUUCUCAUGGCAAACAGAUUCUUCUUUUUCCAGUACCCAGCACAUAUUCGUCCCUCCAGGAGAGCACCCCCACAUCCCACCUCUGACAGUAUCUAAAAUGCAAACAUUGAAGUCAUCAGAAUGACUCCUGUCAUCUCUGCUGGCCUAGGAACAUUCAGGACACUGCACCUUGGAUGACCGAGGAGCCCCUGCAGUUAGCUCUGGCCUCCAAGAACCACUACUCUUCCCUUCAUUAAGAUGUCAGCCCAGAAAGCUUGGUGAUCCCACAAUAGCCACAACAGGUUUUAAUGAAUCCCUGGAUUGUUUCUUGAAAGAAAACUGGAUUUCUUCAGAUAUUUGAUUCAUUCUUUGAUCAGACAGUUAGAGGAAUAGGGAUGGGGUGCUCAAGAUAAGAAAGGGGUUGGGGCAGUCAUGGUAAAUAGUAUGAGAAUUCACAAAAAUGGGCCAGGUUGUGGUGGCUCACGCCUGUAAUCCCAGCACUUUGGGAGGCCGAGGGGGUGCGGAUCACUUGAGGUCAAGAGUUUGAGACCAGCCUGGCCAACAUGGUGAAACCCCGUCUCUACUAAAAAUACAAAAAUUAGCCGGGCAUGGUGGUGAAUGCCUGUAAUCCCAGCUACUAGAGAGGCUGAAGCAGGAAAAUAGCUUGGACCCCGGAGGUGGAGGUUGCAGCGAGCCAAGAUUGUGUCACUGCACUCCAGCCUGGGUGAUGGAGCUAGACUCCAUCUCAAAAAUAAAUAAACAAAUAAGUAAAUAAAUAAAUAAAUAUUCAC
ensembl:lncRNA novel transcript, antisense to HLF